AGGGGGACCUCAGAACCCUGGGACCUGGAUUUGGGACCUGACUCAGCCCUCAUAUGCGGUGUGAGCUCAACGCAUGAACACUGAGCUGCCUGGGUCUGCGGUGCCUCGAAACAGCAGUGGCCACUGUCUAGGGAGCAUCUCCCCGCAGCGCACUGGGUGUGCAGAGGCUGGGAGCUGAGGGCAUAACUCCCUCCUUCUGGCUCCAUGACCCCCCACUUCUCUGAGAGGAACCCGUCUUGAUCCCUAAGGCCAGUCUCUGCCUCAGUGGCUACAGGAAAACCCAGGAAGCAGGGUUAUUUGUCCUUAUUUCAUAAACAAAGAAAUGGAGCCCCUGAGAGCCACAGUGACAUGCCUGAGAGCAUCAACCUGGGCGGCGUCCAGGAUGGGCUCAAACCCAG
rnacentral:lncRNA from 1 species